UGUUUUCCAUCAGGGCUCUACCAUUUUACAGUCUUAAGACCAGAGUACAAGGGUUCCAAUUUCUCCACAUCCCACCAACACUUGUUAUCUUUUAUUUUUUUCAUGGUAGCCAUCCUAAUAGGUGUGAGGUGGUUAGAACCUUAUUUUCUAAUCUCAGCCCUGGGGACUUGCUUCUGCUGCAUUCCUUUUUCCAAGAGCAUCUUUCUCUCACCCCAGGGGGUUCUAGGAUCCCUUCAGGGGUCACCUGGGCACAUAGCCCCAAAUCCUGUCUGAAGAUUUGCUUCAAGUAGUUUUGGCUUCUGGAGAGGCAGGGAGCUCUAUCCACCAUUUUUGAGAGAGAUGGGAGAGAGAAUGUGUGCAAAUCCUUUGGGGGAGGCCCCCUGAAGACUUUAUUAUUGGGAGCAAAGUACCUACGUCCUGUGUUUCCAUUUGAUCAUCUGUUAGGUGUGCAGUUAUAUGCCUCCAUGAUACCCCAUAUCAUUGGUUUGUAGCAUUUAGAUCAACUAUAAUUAUUUGUGUGAUCAUCAGUUUAAUGUCUCCCUUCCUUCUUUCCCUCUACCCCUCAAGAAAGCGCCCUGAAGGUAGGGCCAUGUUUGAAUUGCUGUGCAUGGCUGUAUACAUAGCAUCUAGCAGAGGGAUCGACUCAAGAUACACACUCAGCAAUAAAUACCUGCUAAAUGAUGAAUGUAAAAGUUCAGUCCCUCAAGUCAUCCAGAGAACUUUCUCAGAUUACAUUCACCAGACUUCUUCUUUCUAGCACUGUGAGGGAAAAGUUUGAUUUUCAACUGUUAAUGGACUCUAAACCUGAAAAACAAAACAUAUGUUAUAGUGUUGGCUUUGACCAAAGGCCUGCCACCUCUGGCCUCAGAAGUUUUCUUGGUAACUAUAACUAUAAGCUG
rnacentral:lncRNA from 1 species